ACAUGGAGGCAGCACGCGGUGCCGGGGGGACCCAACGCGGAGCGGACUCGCAGGGCCUGUGCUUUUUCCUUUGGAAAUGAGAUCUCGGUUUUAAAAUAGUUACAGAUAUCCACUAAGAAUUCAUUCCCUUGAAGUCCAGUAACUCCUGUUAGGGAUAUUUAUCAACAAGCCAGCGUGGAAUGUAAAUAUUUACUCAAUCUCUGGAAGCCGUGUAAUCACCAGGUGUUUGUAAGGAUUCCCACUGACGGGAGAUUAGAAGGGACUUUGGUUCGAUUCUCUGUGCCAGGGAUGACCCUGAAGAGGCCCCUGAGGAAGCGAAACCCUCCCCUGCCCAGCUGCAGAAGGAUCGCGCCGCCGGGUCUCCUGCGGUGUGGACGGGCCUCUCCAGUGUGUGCCAGCCUCCAAUACCCCCGCGUCACCUGCGGUGUGGACGGGCCUCUCCAGUGUGUGCCAGCCUCCAAUACCCCCGCGUCACCUGCGGUGUGGACGGGCCUCUCCAGUGUGUGCCAGCCUCCAAUACCCCCGCGUCACCUGCGGUGUGGACGGGCCUCUCCAGUGUGUGCCAGCCUCCAAUACCCCCGCGUCACCUGCGGUGUGGACGGGCCUCUCCAGUGUGUGCCAGCCUCCAAUACCCCCGCGUCACCUGCGGUGUGGACGGGCCUCUCCAGUGUGUGCCAGCCUCCAAUACCCCCGCGUCACCUGCAGUAUGGAUGGGCCUCUCCAGUGUGUGCCAGCCUCCAAUACCCCUGUGUCACCUGCGGUGUGGAUGGGCCUCUCCAGUGUCUGCCAGCCUCCAAUACCCCCGCGUCACCUGCGGUGUGGACGGGCCUCUCCAGUGUGUGCCAGCCUCCAAUACCCCCGCGUCACCUGCGGUGUGGACGGGCCUCUCCAGUGUGUGCCAGCCUCCAAUACCCCCGCGUCACCUGCGGUGUGGACGGGCCUCUCCAGUGUGUACCAGCCUCCAAUACCCCCAUGUCUCCUGCGGUGUGGACGGGCCUCUCCAGUGUGUACCAGCCUCCAAUACCCCCGCGUCACCUGCGGUGUGGAUGGGCCUCUCCAGUGUGUUCCAGCCUCCAAUACCCCCGUGUCACCUGCGGUGUGGACGGGCCUCUCCAGUGUGUGCCAGCCUCCAAUACCCCCAUGUCUCCUGCGGUGUGGACGGGCCUCUCCAGUGUGUACCAGCCUCCAAUACCCCCGCGUCACCUGCGGUGUGGACGGGCCUCUCCAGUGUGUGCCAGCCUCCAAUACCCCCGCGUCACCUGCGGUGUGGACGGGCCUCUCCAGUGUGUGCCAGCCUCCAAUACCCCCAUGUCUCCUGCGGUGUGGACGGGCCUCUCCAGUGUGUACCAGCCUCCAAUACCCCCGCGUCACCUGCAGUAUGGAUGGGCCUCUCCAGUGUGUGCCAGCCUCCAAUACCCCUGUGUCACCUGCGGUGUGGAUGGGCCUCUCCAGUGUCUGCCAGCCUCCAAUACCCCCGCGUCACCUGCGGUGUGGACGGGCCUCUCCAGUGUGUGCCAGCCUCCAAUACCCCCGCGUCACCUGCGGUGUGGACGGGCCUCUCCAGUGUGUGCCAGCCUCCAAUACAGUCUUGUCCUUCAACGAGGUCUUAGGGACAAGGUACAGGGGCAAUUAUCUUGCAUUCACAGCAACAAAUAAGUCAGUAUGAUGAACUUUCUACUGUGGUCAGCUGGAAAAUUUCAUCCUUGUCAGCGGGCACACAAAGACCUUCCUUAGUUCCCAGUUAAAAAGAAAAGGAAAAACAGGAACUGUCGGCCCGGGUGUGUGCAUGUAGCCCAGGGGCCCCACAAAGACUGACCCGGCUUCCAUCCCUGAGGCCCCGCAGAGACUGUCCCGGCUUCCAUCCUGAGGCCCGCAGAGCACUAGGCUGGGGGUGCGCCUGGGCAGGAGGCUGCACGGCAAAGGCACGGGGUGUGCCAUGGAGUUUCCCCGGGAGCCGCAGCCCUGCCCACUCUACAGGGCCCCCGGGAAGUGACUGCCUUGCCAGACAACGGAAUCCAGGGCCCAGCCACGGACAAUCAGGGGAAGGCGUGGAGGGAGCGAGGAGAGACGGGAGCCGGGCAUUGGAGGGAUUACCAGGAGGCGUUUGCUGAGAGGCACAGGCUGAGCCCCCGUGCUGAUGCCACGACCGAGGGAACGGGUCUCCCUGUCGGCGUGAACUGACCCGGCCAGGCGUCCACUGCCACUCGGACUGUCUCCCAGGCACGUGGCGCCCACACGGGCAGAACACGCCCUCCACACACGCGGCUUCGGGCAGAACACGAGGCGCCCUCCACACACGCGGCUUCGGGGCUUGUCAUGAAAAAAGCUGAAUGCUGGGGGUGCAGCUUUCACCAACAGAAUCCCGUUUGGAAGGGACGCGAGUGACGCUCCGUGUUUCGUUCAGCCUGCAGGCCUGCAGAAGCUGCAUCUCGGGAUGGCCAAGAGCCCGGCCAGGCCCCACGGCUGCACCCAGGACGGGAUUCAUGCCCCAUGCCUGGCUUCUCACGACCACAGAGUGCCUUUCCCGGGACUGGAUGGAGGCAGAGUGAGAGAAGAGCCUGGAGCAAGUGUUUUGGACCACAGUGAUCAAACACGGAGCCCGUGGGAGGACGUGGGAGGACGUGCGGGGCUUUGCCGGGCGAGCCCGAUGCUGCUCACGGCACCUGGAGUGUUCGGGCCGCUAUUUGGGCGGUGUUCUGAGCAGCCGUCAGACCUUGAGUUUUGCUGUCAAAAGCUCUUCUCUCCUGCCCCGAAAUAUACCCAGUCCAUGCCCCAAGAGGAAAGGCCUUUGUGCCAGGUGGGCACCCGGCUGCCUCUUGGCAAAGACUUGUUGGAAAAAUGAGUGAGUGACGAGGCUGCUGGUCAGCGUGUGGCCUGUGGCGUCACUGGGGCCUCUGGCGGCUGCUGGAACCAGAAGAGGAGCCUGCGCUGCAACCCAGGCCGCACCACAUCAGGGUCUCACUGGGAGCCGGAGAGCUUGUUCCCAGGCAACCCUGAAACAGAGAAGUGUCCUUGGAGGCUUCACCCACGCAGACCCACGGCUUCCUGGUAGAAGCCGUCUGCACCCCCGCACUGACCUGGCUCUGUGAGGAGAGCGGGGAGGGGCUCCAGGGAAACAUCCUGGCGUUGGCGUAGCCAGCCUGUGAGUCACGGGGAAGCCGGCUGCCCGGAUGCCCCCCAAGGACCCGGUGAGUCCACACACAGUACAGCAGGGCCUGGGCCCGCACCACCGCCUUUUCCUGCAGGCCCCUCAUGUCCACUGACUGCACCUCCAGGGACUCUGCCCGGCAACCCAGGCGCCCCCGACACACCCCACCACACAGCUCCUUCUGCCUCACCCACACCCCGCCAGACCCUGAGCGCUCACGAAGUCUCCUUGUCAAGAACUUUGAGAGCCAGUUGCUAAACACAGAUGUUAUUUAUUUAUUUGAGACAGAGUCUUGCUCUGUCACCCAGGCUGGAGUGCAGUGGCACGAUCUCA